AUGAACGCUGGCGGCGUGCCUAAUCCAUGCAAGUCGCGCUAACAGAUGAGGAGCUUGCUCCUCUGACGUUAUCGGCGGACGGGUGAGUAACACGUUGUUAACCUACCUAUAAUACUGGGUUAACUUCGGGAAACCGGAUCUAAUACCGGAUAAUAUAUUUAACCGCAUGGUUCAAUAGUUAAAUACGGUUUUUCUUUCACUUAUAGAUUGAUCCGCGCCGCAUUAGAUAGUUGGUAAGGUAACGGCUUACCAAGGCAACGAUGCGUAGCCGACAUGAGAGGGGGAUCGGCCACACUGGAAGUGAGACACGGAACAGAAGACUACGGGAGGCAGCAGAAGGGAAGAUGACGGAAUGGGCGAAAGCAUGACGGAGAAAAGGCGAGGGAGAGAUGAAGGUCUUAGGAGCGUAAAACUCUGUUAUUAGGGAAGAAAAAAUGUGUAAGUAAAUAUGCACGUAUUGACGGUAACAAAUAAGAAAGCCACGGCUAACUACGUG
rnacentral:rRNA from 1 species